CCUACGGGUGGCAGCAGUGGGGAAUAUUGCACAAUGGGCGAAAGCCUGAUGCAGCAACGCCGCGUGAGCGAUGAAGGCCUUCGGGUCGUAAAGCUCUGUCUUCAAGGAAGAUAAUGACGGCACUUGAGGAGGAAGCCAUGGCUAACUCCGUGCCAGAAGCCGCGGUAAUACGUAGGGGGCUAGCGUUAUCCGGAAUUACUGGGCGUAAUGGGUGCGUAGGUGGUUUCUUAAGUCAGAGGUGAAAGUCUACGGCUAAACGGUAGUAAGCCUUUGAAACUGGGGAACUUGAGUGCAGGAGAGGAGAGUGGAAUUCCUGGUGUAGCGGUGAAAUGCGUAGAUAUUAGGAGGAACACCAGUUGCGAAGGCAGCUCUCUGAACUGUAACUGACACUGAGGCACGAAAGCGUGGGGAGCAAACAGGAUUAGAUACCCCAGUAGUC
rnacentral:rRNA from 1 species